rnacentral:sRNA from 1 species
UUACACCUUUUAAGCAGGCCGGCUUGACGCUUGCUAUUAAUUAUUUCUCCUUUUUAUGUUUUCUCUUUGUUCUGUGUAUCAGAUCGCGCCCAAGCCAUAGCUGGGCAUGACAAGUUUUUGUUAAUAAUAAUAUAAUAUAAAGAUAUGGGCUAUACUAUACAUGAGUAUAUUUCAUUUGGGUAUC